GCUCGGCUGGUCUAGUGGUAUGAUUCUCGCUUAGGGUGAUACCUUGAGUGUCUUAAGUGACUUGCGAGAGGUCCCCGGUUCAAACCCGGGGUCGAGCC